rnacentral:rRNA from 1 species
CUCGUGUCGUGAGGAUGUUGGGUUAAGUCCCGCCAACGAGCGCAACCCUUGCCUUUAGCUGCCAGCAGUUCGGCUGGGCACUCUAAAGGGACUGCCGGUGUUAAACUGGAGGAAGGUGGGGAUGACGUCAAGUCCUCAUGGCCUUUAUGACCAGGGCUACACACGUACUACAAUGGCCGAUACAAAGGGCAGCGACACUGCGAGGUGAAGCCAAUCCCGUAAAAUCGGUCUCAGUCCGGAUUGGAGUCUGCAACUCGACUCCAUGAAGUUGGAAUCGCUAGUAAUCGUGGAUCAGCAUGCCACGGUGAAUACGUUCCCGGGCCUU